AAACAGCGACAAAGUCGUCAGCAAAACAACAUGAAUAACCAUGUCCACGGAAAGGAAAGAGAGAUAGAGAGAUACAGAAAGGAGUAGAACAGGAAAGCAGAAGGGGAAGAGAGAGAGAAAAGAACAAGAAAAAAGGGUGGGAGGGAUGUAGCAACCAGCUAGUUCCUGAGGAACUACAGUCCUUUCGGGGCCGGAGCGUCCUGCAUGAUUUGCUGAGCAAUAGGUGGUCAGUGCGUUCACCCACCUGGAGGAUAUCCGUGUGCAGCGAGGAAAUGGCAGAUCUGAAAUCACCCUGAAUUUCCGUCCUCAACGCCGCCAAUAACCCCUUCAAUGACU